rnacentral:rRNA from 1 species
AUUGAACGCUGGCGGCGGGCCUAACACAUGCAAGUCGAGCGGAGCUGCGGACGGGUGAGUAAUGCCUAGGAGUCUGCCUGGUAGUGGGGGAUAACGUCAGGAAACGGGCGCUAAUACCGCAUACUAUUUGCUGUGCCUAGGUAGGAUUAGCUAGUUGGUGGGGUAACGGCUUACCAAGGCGACGAACCGUAACUGGUCUGCGAGGAUGAUCAGUCACACUGGAACUGAGACACGGUCCAGACUCCUACGGGAGGCAGCAGUAGGGAAUAUUGGACAAUGGGCGAAAGCCUGAUCCAGCCAGGCCGCGUGUGUGAAGAAGGUCUUCGGAUUGUAAAGCUCUUUAAGUUGGGAAGCGGUACCAACAGAAUAAGCACCGGCUAACUUCGUGCCAGCAGCCGCGGUAAUAC